AAAUUACUCCCUCCGUCCCAAAAUUCUUUUCUUAGAUUUGUCUAGAUACAGAUGUAUCAAGUCACAUUUUAGUAUUAGAUACAUCCGUAUCUAGACAAAUCUAAGACAAGAAAUUUGGUACAGAGGGAGUAGUUG
rnacentral:pre_miRNA from 1 species